CCGAAGUGUAUUGUUACAGGUGUGAAUCGGUUAUAAGAAGUAGUUACCAUAAUUGAUUAAUCAAUUCCAAACAAUUCUAAAAUUUCCUUAAAAAUGAAAUGAUAUGUAAACACUAUUUCACUGAUCAAUAAACAAACGAACGAAGUGAAUGCCUUUUGGAAACCGUAUAUCAAUAAAGUAUAUUAUACAGAUUACUCCGCUUGUACUAGCAUAGAUUCUAGUCAUUUCACUUAUCGAUCGUCGCCAUUUUGUAAGCGCCCUGCCUAAGAGUGUCUCAUGGACUUUAGCUGGAAUAAAUGUGUAUUCCAGCCUGGUUGCUGUAGCCACAGGGGAAUCUUCAAGGACAAGAACCAUUGCUGGUAAAAAUGUGGUCUCAUGUGGUUUUCCAUACCGGCUCUCAGCAAGGAUUUCAGAGAAAGGAAUACCGUCUCCAAAUCAUGAUGUGCUAAUAAGCUCCAGUUAGCUGCGCCUUUUUCCUCCCGGCAGUAGUCCUGCAAUCUGAAUCCAGGAGAUGCAGCUCUGAAUCCAAUUUAAAAAAAACUGAAGCCUUCAGGAAGUCAACGCCACCAUGAUAUUGAUUUACUCAGCUCUGAUGUACUCAGCUGUGAUGUAACAUGCCUUCAAGCCACAAUUCGAAGAACAUUCAGACGUUCUAAAUGGACCAUUGCCCUGUUGCCAUGGAAAUCAUUAUGAGGAGGAGCACACAAACUGUCACUUGUAUUGAAUACGAGAUGUACCACAAACUUACCAUAAACUUUUCGGAUGCUCUGUUUAUUUCAUCAGCCAAUUUCGAUGUAUAUUUUACUGAAUAACGACAAACAAUCCUUAUUAACGAUGCUCAGCUCUUACUCAUAAGCAUCUCUUACUCAUCCAUAUUCCACAACUAAACAUGCUUGCAAUUACACUGUACCAUCUAUCAUAAUACAGCAAUGCUGCAAAUUACCACAUUUUUUUGUACCAGUUGUUGCUUUAUACUGAAACUUUAACUGAAAAUGAUGCAUAAACACUGAUAACACAUAAAUGUUUCAUUCAUACAUUUGUACAUGUUCUUUCAGUGUAUAUGUUGAUAAUGUUGAUACAUUUUUCAUGUGCAUUUACACAUGUGUUUAUUGCCAACCUCAUCAAAACAUGCAUAGUUUGCUCACAUACAUACUUCCAACACAGACAUUUACUGAAUGUAUUACUACUUUACGUUGAUUUUGAUAUGUAAAUAAAACAUUGUACUACUCGUUUGUACAAAACACGUUUCAUUUGCUAUGUUGUUUGUUUCCAUGUUCUGUCUGCAUGCAGAUGGUAUUUUCAUAUCAAUUUUUAGCUAAACUAUUCGUAGAAUAUGGAGAGCUAUACUACUCACCCAAGCGUCGGCGUCAGCGUCACACCUUGGUUAAGGUUUUGCUUGCAAGCACACAUAGGUAAAUAUCUCAUUAAGUACUUGAGGUAUUGCAUUGAGACUUGAUACAAUGGUACUCAACCA